rnacentral:lncRNA from 10 species
UACCCCAAUGUCUCUCUGUACAUUGGGUGUGUAGCAUCUUUUGUAACAGAGUCCUACUAAUUCAUGUGCAGAGAAAAAGCUCACAACAGCAGUCCUGAGACUACAUAUACUUGAAAAUGUGUGUUCACAAAGUUUAACCUUUGAUGGUAUCUGGAAAGUGGAUUUGAUUCUCAUUCAAACAGCACAGGCAAAUCCAAAAACAAACAAAAACCGAAUUUUGCAUGGGAUCUCACCAACCCAACUGAUUAAGAGAGUCAUAACUAACUGAAACAGAAACCCAUGACCAAAACCAUUAUGGGAAAUAAUACUGGGGUAAGACAACAUAAAUUGUAAUUGAUGAAGUGCUGAAGGCUGAAUGGGGACAAGGUUUAGAGGUAAAAACUCUGUGAGGGGGCAGUCUUAACAAAAAGGUAAUGUGAUUUAUGAAAAUUAAGAACUUUUGUGCAAGGGAACACACUAUCAACAAGGGAAAAGAAAACUCAUCAAUUUGGAGAAAAUGUUGGUAAGUCAUAUAUCUGGUAUGGUCUUAAUUUUCAGCAAAUAUAAAGAAUUUCCAUAAUUCAACUAUAAAAAACACAUCAAACAUGCCAAAUGGAAAGCUUUGAUGAGCAUGCUGACAAACUGGAACCUAUGUACACUGUCCAAGGGAUUGUAAAAUGGCUUAGCUAUGAAAAACAGUAUGGCAGUGCCUCAAAAAUUAAAAACAAAAUUACCAAAUGUUCCAGCAACCCACUUUUAGGUCGAAUUAUAUUCAAUUCAAAAGAAUUAAAAGUAGGAUCUCAAAGAAAUAUUUGAAAACCAUCGAUGGCUGGGUACAGUGGCUGAUGCCUGUAACCCCAACACUUUCAGGAGGCUGAGCUGGUCUUAAACUUCUGGACUCAAGUGAUCCUCCCACCUCGGCCUGCCAAAGUGCUGGGAUUACAGGUGUAAGCCAGCAUGCCAAGCCCUAAAGUUUUUGUUUUUUUGAGGAAAAUUUUCACCCUGUCUCCCAGGCUGGAGUGCAGUGGUGCCCUCAAGGCUCACUGCAGCCUUGGAUCUUCGGGGCUCAAGCGAUCCUCCCGCCUUAGUCUCCCGAGUAUAGUAGCUGAGACUACAGGAAUAUGACACCAUGCCCAGCUAUUUUGUUUGGUUGUUUUCAGUAGAGAUGAGAUCUUGCUAUGUUGCCCUGCCCACUCUGGUCUUGAACUCCUAGGCUCAAGCAAUCCUCCCACCUGGGCCUCUGAAAGUGCUGGGAUUACAGGAGUGAGUCACUGUGCCUGGACUAAAAUUUUUAAAAAAUGUUUUCUUUCCCGUGUCUCUACUAAAAAUACAAAAAUCUGCCGGGCAUGUCGGCACAUGCCUGUAAUCCCAGCUACUUGGGAGGCUGAGGCAGGGGAAUCGCUUGAACCCAGGAGGCCGAGGUUGCAGUGAGCCAAGAUAGCACCAUUGCACUCCAGCCUGGGCAACAGACACAGUGAGACUGUCUCAAAAAAAAAAAAAAAAAAAAAGUUUUCCUUAUUUUCAGAGGUGUUGAUAACAUUUUUAAAUAGUGCUAUUCAUUUGUCUGUGGAAAAAUGAUAAAAUAUGGCAGCUGUUUCAAAUGUAGCAUGGGAAACACAUAAUUGAUAAGGAUGUCAAUUGGCGAGGGGAAGUUGGUGUUUUUGAAUGUGAGGAGAAAACCAGAAAUUUAGGGAUUUACUGUCAUACCUGGGAAGAACUAGGCUGGGAGAGGGGUCCCAAAAACUCCCUCUUUGAUCAAACUAGUCAGGCUCCUCAGAGCCCCCCUCUUCUUGAGUAGACUUUGGCCUUUUCCUGCAGAGCCCUGUGGUAGCAAAAACCCUUCUAAGGGAGUUUAGAGAAAAUUCCCCCAAACCUGAUAUCCAAUCAAGUCCCUUUUCCCUACGUUUGACAAUCUCUUCCCUAAUUCUUGACACUAAACCAACUUCCAUCCUCUCCCUCACCUUGCCUAUUAGCUGUAAAUUCAAUACUGUCGUUGAUGCAGCCUUCACCUCCUGGGCUCAAGCAAUUCUCCUGCCUCAGCCUCCAGACUAACUACAGAAGCGGCCAUCAUACCUGACUAAUUUUUUUUUUUUUUAACAGAGUCUCGCUCUGUCGCCAGGCUGGAGUGCAGUGGCACCAUCUCGGCUCACGCAACCUCCGCCUCCUGCGUUCAAGCGAUUGUCUUGCCUCAGCCUCCCGAGUAGCCGGAUUACAGGCACGUGCCACCACGCCCAGCUAAUUUUUGUAUUUUUGGUAGAGUCGGGGUUUCACCAUGUUGGCCAGGAUGGUCUCGAAUUCCUGACCUCGUCAUCCGCCCGCCUCGGCCUCCCAAAGUGCUGGGAUUGUAGACGUGAGCCACCGCGCCCGGCCAUACCCGACUAAUUUUUUAAAAUAUUUUGUACAGACGGGGUCUCGCCAUGUUGUCCACGCUGGCAUCACCUUGCCUUACGCUGGAAUGUUAAAUAUACUCUUUUAAAUUGGAAAGGAAAUGAAACCCAAAUGUAAAGAAAAAAAAAAAAAAGCUCUAUGGGGGCGGGGGGAGGGGGGCGGGCCAAACUCUGAUUAAAUUGUUGUGCCUCACAAACUAGCCUUGUAUAAAAAACGUUGUAAUCCUGUUAAAUUUCUUGCCUAUAUAAGCAAGAACUUAAACUUUUAAAUUUGAAACACUGAGCCCAUUUCCGUGGAUCCUGUGUUUUCCCAAAUGGGCCAUUCCCAGCUUCUUGCUUGAGUAAACUUUAAAAAACUGGAAUCUGAUUCUUUUAUUUCAGGUUGACAAGUCCACAUACGGCGACAGCAUCACUGUAACUAAUCAAGUAUUUAAUCCUGUUUGCCUCCUCAUGCAACUUAUAAAAGCCUUUUCUUCAAUCACAAGCCAUGACCGGGUGUUUCUCACUCGGAAUCGCUGUUGCUCCAACAAACUCUUUAACUGUUAACAGAGCCUCAGUUUAAUUUUUAGCAGAAGAAAGGCGGGACACAUCCGACCCCCCAUGACCCUCCCGUGGCCCCCGCACAAUCUGGGAAGACGCCGGGCUGCGGGCGCGGAGCUGCCCAGAGAGGACUCCGGGGCCGGGGCCGCAGUCGCCGCGUAGGGACGGGACAGGACGCCCGGGGUCCCAGCUGCGGGCCCAGCCCCACCUGGCGGCCGAGCGGACCGAGGGCCAAGCCACGCCAUGGGGGACGCGGGUCCCAAUCGCCGGGGUCGCCCGAGCGGAGGCCUGGGUCCCGCCACAGCAGGAUCCUGUUGGUUCCACCCAGCCCCUCUUCCACGUAUCUGGACGCUAGGCCGGGCACUUUACCAUUUCCCUGCUUCUUGGUGUCCCGGCGUCCUCUUUAUGACUCCGGAGCAGGUCACAGCGCAGGUGACAGCGUCACAGGAGCCGUGGCGGAGGCACCUGGGGCCUCUCGGAGCAGCAAGGACUGGAUGCAGAACGCAACGGACCCCAGCAACAAAGGAGUGCAGAGACUCUGAGUGCGGCCUUCUGCUUCCCCGGAUUGACAGUUGGCAGGGCCCCGUCCCAGGGCCCCUGAUUGGAUGGGGUUCCAGGCUCCGCCCCUCAGCCCUGAGUGACAGGGUAAGCCCUGGGUAACGGAGCCCUGCAGAGCCCGGCUGAUUAAUCCUAGCUACAGCCUUUCUAAGGCUAAGCUCACUCCCUGCGCCCUGGUCGUUGGCUAUCUGCAUUUCAGCCAAACUUGCUACUUAUUGUUAGAAGGGGCACUGUUAGCUUCCUCGAUCUUUCAGAAAUGUGUGCUGGGAAUUCCAGACUCGGUGUUCAAUGGAGUCAUUCCUUUGCCUCAUAGCAGGAAGGAAAUCCAGGCCAGGCCAGGCCAGGCAAGACUGCACCAGGAGGGAGAGGCAGGUGUCCUCUACAGGGCGGGAAUUGGGGAUGAGACUUCCUCACACUCCCCCCGUCCCACCCCUGAAUAUGGAACCGCUUCCUCCCCCUAGACUUCAUUUUCACCAGCAGAAGUUCUCACCUGGGGUCAGUUUAAGCUUCUAACCUAAGUAAACUAUUACCUUCACAAACCCUUUCUCCAGGUGACAUGUCAGACAAAUCUUACUGAGCCUGAUCUUCACAGAUUAUCUUUGUAUGUACAAAUUACAGUCUGUCGCCGGGACCCUUUGCACGUAAAAACCAAACACUGCCCCCGCAAAACGUCCCUAGGCUCUAGGUACAGCCCCAGUAAGGACAGAACCUCCCCCCAACCCCCCUACACAAAGUGCACCUGCACGUGAGUCUCCUGCUUUCCAGGGCUCUGUAGCUUCUCAGGAUCCACAUUCCUUCCGCAGCUGUUCUGAGCAGCUGGAGGCCACCUGCAGUAGAGGGCAGGCUGCCCGGGAAACACCCAGGGGAGCUCCCUUUCCCUCCCUUUGCCGGCUCCAGACUGGCCUCAGCAGGGUGUCACUGGCCUUAGGCUCUGCUGCCCCCUACAGGUUAUUCACUUCAUUGAUCGGUUACCUGAGACAAACACCCUCAGUUCCACUGUACGUAUGUAUAAAGUGGGGAAGGAAAAUUCUAAGAUAAUUGAAGUGAAUUAAAAGACUUGCAGGCAGGGUGCGGGGGCUCACGCCUAUAAUCCCAACCCUUUUGGAGGCUGAAGCGGGAGGACUGCUUGAACCCAGGAGUUCAUCAUCCUGGAAAACGGAGCCACACCUCGUCUGUACUAAAAAUUUAAAAAUUAGCAGUGCGUGGUGUCCUGAACCUGUAGUCCCAGCUACUCGGGAGGCUGAGGUGGGAAGAUCUUGAGCCCAGGAGUUUGAAGCUUCAGUGACCUAUGAUCUCGCCACUGUGCUUCAGCAAGAGUUGUGAUAGUUGUAUCAGAUAAAAUAGACUUUAAAUAAAAAACAGUACAAAAAGACAAAGAAGAUCAUGAGAUACUGAUAACAGAAUCAAUUCAGCAAGAUAAUAUAGUAAUACUAAAUAUAUAUGCAUCCAACAUUGGAGAGGCCAAAUUAAUAAAGCAAAUAUUUCUAGACCUAAAGAAAGAUAUAGAUAGCAAUACAAUAAUAGUAUGGGACUUCAGCACCUCACACACAGUAGUAGAUAUAUCAUCAAGACAGACAAUCAACAAAAAAAUUGGACUUAAGUUGGACUUUGGACCAAAUGGAGCUAACAGACGUUUACAGAACCCAACAACUGCAGAAUAUACAUUCUUCUCAUCAGUACGUGAAACAUUCUCCAAGGUAGACCAUAUGUUAGGCCACAAAACUAGUCUCGACAAAUUUUAAAGUCAAAAUCAUUUCAAGCAUCUUCUCAGACUGCUGAAUAAAACUAAAAAUCAAUACCAAGAGGAACUUUGAAAACUGUAUAAAUACAUGGAAAUUAAACAAUGUGCUCCUGAAUGAUCUCUGAGUCAAAGAAGAAAUAAAAACAGAAAAUAAAAAUUUUGUUUGAAAUGAACAAAAAUGGCAACACAACAUAUCAAAACCUCUGGGAUAUAGGAAAAGUCAUGCUAAGAGGGAAGUUUAUAGAAUUAUAUGCCUCUGUCAAAAAAGUAACAAAUUAACAACCUAACAUGGUACCCCAUGGAACUAGGAAAACAAGAACAAAACAAAUCCAAAGUUGGCAGAAAAGAAAUAACAAAGAUCAGAGCAGAAUUAAACAAAAUCAAGACUAAAAAACAACACAAAUGAUAAACGAAACAAAAAGUUGGUUCUUUGAAAAUAUCAACAAAAGUAAUAAACUGCUGGCUAGACUAACCAAGAAAAAAAAGAAGAUUCAAAUGAACAAAACCAGAAUUGAAAAAGAAGACAUUACACCAAUACCACAGAAAUACCAUCAGAGACUACUAUGAACAACUAUAUGCUCACAACCUAGAAAACCUAUAGGUUUUUUUGAAACGUAUAACCUCCCAGGAUUGAACCAAGAAGAAACAGAUAUCCUGAAUAGACCAAUAAUAAGUAGCAAUAUUGAAUCAGCAAUAAAAAAAUUCCCAAAAAUGAAAGCUCUGGGCCAGACAGAUUUAUACCAAAAUUGUACCAAAUAGGCCAGAUGUGGUGGCUCAUGCCUGUAAUCAUAGCACUGUGGAGCCUGAGACAGGAGGAUUGCUUGAGGCCAGGAGUUUGAGACCACCCUGGCCAACAUAACAAGAUCCCAUCUCUAAGUAAAAAAAUAAAAAUUUAAAAAUCAACAUUAAAAAAAUUAUACCAAACAUACAAAAAGAACUAUACUAAUAAUCCUGAAACUGUCCCUAAAAAUCACAGACAAGGGAAAUCUCCCUAACUCAUUCUAUGAGGCCAGUAACAUCCUAAUACCAAAAACAGACAAGGACACAACAACAAAACUACAGACCAAUAUCCCCGAUGAACACGGAUGUGAAAAUCCCCAACAAAACACUAGCAAACUGAAUCCAACCGCACAUUAAAAAGAUAAUACAGCAUGAUAAAGUAGGUUUUAUACCAGGAAUGCAAAAAUGGUCCAACACACACAAGUUAAUAUAUGUAACACAUCACAAAAACAGAAUGAAGAAUAAAAACCAUAUGAUCAUCUCAAUAGAUUUAGAAAACACACUUGAUAAAAUUCAGCAUCCUUCAUGAUAAAAGCUCAAAAAACUAGGUACAGAAUGAACAUAUCUCAAAAUAAUAAAAGCCACACAUGAUAAACACACAGCCAACAUCAUACUGAAUGGGGAAAUAGUUGAAUGAUAAAAACUAGAACAAGAUUAAGGAUGCCUACUUUCACCACUCUUAUUCAACCCUAGUAUAGGAAGUCUUGGCCAGAGCAAUCAGGCAAGAGAAAGAAAUAAAAGACAUGCAAAUUGGAAAAGAGGAAGUCAAAUUAUUCCUGUUCAGUGAUAUAUAAUCUUACAUCUAGAAACGCUUAAGACUCCACCAAAAAUCUCUUAGAUUAGUUAAAUUAAUUCAGGAGUUUCAGGAUACAAAGUCAGUGUACAAAAGUCAGCAGUGUUUCUAUACAGCAACAACAAUCUAGCUGAGAACCAAAUCGAGAAAGCAAUACCACUUACGAGAGCUACCAAAUAACACCCCACCCCACAUGGGAAUAUAUUGCACCAAGGAGGUGAAAGGCCUCUACAAAAAGAAAAAAUCUAUAAAACACUGAUUAAAGAAUUACAGAUGACACAAACAAAUGGAAAAAACAUUUCAUGCUUAUGGAAAGAACUAAUAUCAGAAGAAUUAAUUUCAUUAAUUAUUCAGAA